UACGUAGGGUGCAAGCGUUGUCCGGAAUUAUUGGGCGUAAAGAGCUCGUAGGCGGUUCGUCGCGUCGGCUGUGAAAACCCGGAGCUCAACUCCGGGCCUGCAGUCGAUACGGGCGGACUUGAGUGUUGCAGGGGAGACUGGAAUUCCUGGUGUAGCGGUGAAAUGCGCAGAUAUCAAGGAGGAACACCGGUGGCGAAGGCGGGUCUCUGGGCAACUGACUGACGCUGGAGGAGCGAAAGCGUGGGGAGCGAACAGGA
rnacentral:rRNA from 1 species